rnacentral:lncRNA from 1 species
AGGAGAUCAGACUAAAGGCCCCAAGUUCCAGCUUCCUGCGUCUGAAAGAAGCUAGGUCAGGAUUUUGCAAACAGGACCAAGAAAUCAAUUUUGUGACCCAUUGAUAAGGACCUUACAGACGGGGAAGUUUCUUUCACAGCCUUUCAUUCCUGCUCACCUUAGACCUUGGACGUAUUGAUGGGAAUCCCAAAUAGAAGGAAUUUACCUGCUGCUAAUUUGGGUACCACAGGGCUUAGCCUGUGGUACAUAUAUCUGAAAGCUACUUUUAGAAGACAUUUUGGAAGACACGAAGCCUGUAUACUUCAGACAAGAAGCCUAAUAACUUGGGGCACAGACCAACUGAAAAUCAAUUCCACAUGUUUGAGGCUUCUGUACUCUAGCUGAUAAGGUUCUCUUUUCCAUUUACAGGGCUCUCCAAUCUGCAGUGAACUGUUUUAUCGUCUGAGACUCGGGCUGCCGUCCCACAAGCCGUACUUGGGAAACCACUAACUGAUGUUAGAUUUACACAGGAUGCACAAGAAGCACACGUUCAUGUCGGAAGUCUCUGGAGAAGCAGAGACCACUGGCCAGGUCCUGCAGUCCCAGUGCCAAGCUGCCUAUGGGCCCAAACAGAAGAAAGAAAAAUGCUGGACCUAUGACCUGGGAAACUGCAAUCAUAAAUAUCUCCUGUUUGCCUCUGAGCAAGCCCUGGCCCUCCUGGCCACUCAGACCAGCGACCUCUGUAGAAAGGGCCAGUGUCUUGCAGAGCAGAGCCAGUCUCUCCUGAAAUUUUUUUCCUUUCAGUUUGAGCUGGAAAUAGCACAAUAUCCUUUACUAACUACUUUGGCAGCUCUUUGUCUGAAUCAGAAAGUUCAGACACAGAGUGAAAAAAAAAAAAAAAAGGAAAAAGAGAAGACAAGAUCCAAAUAUCUUUGUAGUUUUUUUCUUUUUCUGUAACAGUAGCCUGAAUUGUUUUGGUCAGUAAAGGGUUAAAGUGCUCAUUUGCACUGAAGUAGGUGGCUACACUAUUAGAGGCAAUGACAGUAUUGUUAUUAGCACAAAUGAAAACAGGAUCUAGCUCUUCAUCACCCAUCUACCCUCCCGAUAAUCCCACCAAUCUUGAGGGAAUAUAGGUUUCCUUUGACUAUUACAUGUUUUUCUACAUUGUCCUUGGACCCCAUCUGCGUCCUCUACCUGAAUUAAAAUGAACCCUCCUUUCUUUAUCCUCCCUCUGACUUCAUUCCCACUGACCCUCUAUUCAGCUGAUCUCAUUUAAGACUGAGUGUAUUUUAUUUCUUUUAUGACUUUGUCUUCUGCAAGAAACUCCCAGUCUUUCCAACAUCGAGCCACGUGUGCCAUUCUGUCUGCAUCAAAAAUCAGAUCAUUCCUUCAAAAUAAGAACUGGCACCGGGUCAAAGUCCUGAAGAUGAAAGGAAGGGUUAAGUUUACUUUCAAUAUUGGAGGAGGGUUCGGAAAUAAAUGUCGAGGUUAAAAAGUCCA